GCAGGUGGCUGGCCUUGGGCCCCGUGGGGGCAGGUGCAGGCGGAGGUGGCUGGCUGGGGGACAGCUCGGGGGGGCGGGGCCCGAGCCACGAGGAGCCUCUGAAAACCCGCCUCUGGGUUUGGGAACGAGGGGGCUUUGGAGACCCCGCCGAGCCGCAUUCAGAGGUGAGCGCGGGCUGGAGACCCUCACCCUGAGCGUCAGGGCCCCAGGGCUGCCGGGACAGGCCGCCGCGAGCCUGGCGGCGUAAGACGGCACAGACUGGCUAUCCUACAGCCGUGAAGGCGGGAGCCGAAGCGGGCCUCCCUGGGCUGGAGCCGAGGCACAGGCAGGGCUGCCUCCCGGGGGCUCCGGGGCAGAACCCCUUCCUGGCCUCUAACAGCUGGAAGCGGCCGCACGCCUCGGCUCCGGGCCCCUCCUCCACCUUCCCGGCCAGCGGCCAGCAGUCCUGUUCUCUCUAGGGCUCUGCCUCCUGCUGUCACAUCUCUACUCUGACCCCCCUGCCGUCCCCCACAAGGACCCCGUGACGACACCGGCCUCCCCAUGACCCUGGAUCCCCCUGCCUCAGGGUCCUUCACUUAACUGCGUCUUUGCCGUGCUGGAGGAGGCCCUCGGACGGCGCCGCCAGCCUGGGCAAGUGGACAGGUGGACAUCGGCUUCCUCCAGGGCUCAGCCUUUGCCCAGAGGGGGUGGCGGGGAGCCCGUGGGUCCAGAGAGUGCGUCCCCCUCAGGACCGCCAGCUGAGUCAGUGCCGGGUGUCACUGUCCCUGAUGAGAGGGUGGACCCCGUAGCAUCUGAAGUGCAUUCUGGUUACCCUUCCUGCCACAGGUAAUUCUGAUUUCCUGAUCUAACCCCUGCCUUCUCCUCCUUUCCUUCUGUGAUGUUUAAUUUUAUGUAUGGACUUGGCUGGGCCACGGGUGCCCAGGUACUUGGUGAGACUUUCUUCUGGGCGUCUCCGGUUGAGAGUAACAUCUGAACGGGUGGUCUGACGCAAGCAGGUGCCCUCCCCUCGCGGGUGGGCCUCGUCCAGUCCCGGAGGCCUCAACAGAGCAGAAGCGAGGGAUGCAGAAUCGGCUCUCCUGGCCCGACGGACUCCAGCUCGGACAGCGGCCUCCUGCCUUUGGACACAGACUCAGGCAGGACCUCGCACGUCCGGCUCCCCUGGGUCUCCAGCUGGCCCGCUGCCGACCUGGGGACUUGUCAGCUUCCGUGACAGUGCGUGAGCCAACUCCUCACAAUCAAUGGGUGCAUAUAUCCGGCCUGCUUUACACUUCUACACGUAACACACAUCACAUGUGCGUUCUGUUUCUCUGGAGAACCUGUCGCCCCCGCCAAGGUCAACGCCCCGCUUGUCCUGCAGCUGGUCUGUCUUGGUGGCAGCUCCCCGGGGCCCUCCUCCCUUCGCCCUGGGCUGGCGCUUCCUCCUCCAGGACCCAGGGGUCUCCUAUCUCCCAGGUAUAAUAACCACCACAAAAAAAAAAAAGCACCACAAAAAAACAAGCAGAGAGCCUCGUUCCUCUUGACUGAAGAACCACUGAUGAGCGACCACCUCCACAAGGACCACACUCCAGUCCUGGUCCACAGAAGAUAUAUGGUCGGGGCAAACUCAAGACAGCCGGGAGGGAGAACCUGAGGUUGAAGAGGCUCAAGACGCGUGCCGGCGGUCGCAACGCGUGGGCCUCGUGUGCAUCUCCGUCAGGCCAACUGUACAAACGCCGUUCCUAGCAGCGUCCAGGAGCCUGGAACCUGAGAGGUUCUCUGUGCUGACGGCAUUAUAGCUACAUUGUGGGAAUACAGCUGAAGUGUGAAGUGACGCCUGGGAUCUACUCAGAACAGCCAGUUCCCUGACCAGGGUUUGAACCCUCGCCCCCUGCAGUGGACGCGCGGAGGCUUAACCACUGGAGCCCUGAGUCCUCAUCUUCAAUGAAGGCAAAUCCUCAGACUCUGUGUCUCAGAAGAGUCCCCGCCUCUUUUCUCCUUCUGGGAAUCGCGAACCUGCUGCUGUUUCCCCAUCCUUCUCCAUCCAUCGCUGUGUCGUCAGGGUGGCCCUUCAUCCCUCCCGAGUCCGUGCCUCUUCUCGGUUCUCUCUGAGCCCUGGCUCCUGCCUCCGGCUUCCUGAGCCCCUGCCCUUUGGGCUUCUCUGUGAAGCCCCGUCCGGUCAGUCAUUCCGCCCAGAACAGCCGGACCCGUGGCUUCUUUCUCCACCUCGGCCUGGACGCCCGGGCUCCACCACAGAGCUUGCGGAGCUGGGAGAGGCGCUCAGGACCAAGGGGUGGGGCCCUCUCCCUACCCUGCCCGCAGGGCCCACCAGGGCCUCGACCAGCAGCCCAGCCCCUCCUGCUUGCCUCCACCCAUCCUAAGCCCCCAAAGCCCCCGCGCCCUCCGGCCUCAGCCCCUGCCCAUCCCCCCACCCGUGCCGGCGCUAAUCUGGGGCUCAGUGCUGGGGGCAGCCCUACACCUGCACCCCAGGUGCCCAGACUCCUCACUGGGGUCCCCCAGGAUGCGGGGAGGGGGUGCCUGCUGUCCGCGACCCUUACUGACGCCGCCCAGGGUGCCCGUGGCGGCCCCUCGGUCACCGGCCAUUCCCCGCGUACAGCUGAGCCGACAUGCAGGCGACACCACUGCUCCUUCACUACACCGUGGCCCACGCACCCAGGGCCUGCUCCUGGACGUGCACCGUCCUGUGGACGUGCCGGCGUCGCCCUGCACCGGUGGCUGGACCGAGGCCCCACAUUCCCAACCUCUAGGCGCCCCGGGGUCUCGAAGGGAAACAGCUCCGCCAGGAGCCCCGGGAACGCGCAAGCCCCACUGCAGCUGAGCCCGCCCGGAAAGCACGAGCCCGGGAACAAUGCCCUUCGUGUGACAGACUUUCCCCUCUGUGGGAGAAAAUAGAGUUUAACAGAAUGGCGACUUCCUGCAUUUGUGCCUUCGCCUGAGGGGUGAUUCACACAAGACCUCCCACAAAGAGGAGCUUCUAGCCAAGUCAGCCAGGGCUAGGUGCCCCAAGGGCCCUGCACCCCUUGGGGCCCCGGGGCCAGGGCACAAGGACUCAUGUGACCCGCGAGCAGCCCGGCCCACGGCCCCGCCCUGUGGCCACUUGCCUCUUGGUCUCUCCUGGGGGAGGCCCUGGCCGACCACCCUCCUGCCUUCGCCUGAGGUUCCUGCCACUCCCACACCCAAACCCCACCACGGCCAGACCCCCUCCCUGGAGCUCUGGGGCCGCUCCGGUUCAUACUUUCCUCCCCUUCAGGGCCCAAAACACAGAGAUGGUGGGACCAACCGCCCUGCUUUGGGGACACACGGCCCUUCUAUGCAGGCAUCGAUGACACCACUGCGGGCUGGGACGGUGUGGCUGAGAUGAGGCUUCACUAGGACAUCCCGCUGUGAGGCUGGUGGACGGUGGCCCGGCUGCUGCCCUCCAGAUGCACGGGGCCUUGGCGCCAAGGCCUCGCUGCCCACGGCUGCUGCCUGCCCCCGAGGGAGAGACGGAGCACGGCAGGGGUGCAGAGGCCCUCUCCUGCAGCCGCACAGCAGCCUGAGGCCCCUCCUGCCGGGCCUCCUGCCUCUCCUGCUUUCCCCGGGGGCAGGCACCCUGCAUGGGGUCUGGCCCCCCACUUGAUUCUUCACAGGUGUUUCCCCCCAGGAUCUCGUCCACAUCAGCUCCCCACUUGGCCUCUCACAUGGGAUGAAGUUCAAGCCGCCGCCGCCUCUCCUGGACCUUGUGACCUCCAGCCAAGGAGCCUCCAGGGUGGCACAGCUCCCCGCUUUCCCUGGGGAGCAGUGGGAGCUGAGUUUCCACCCUCCGGAGCUUGAGUCCCGCCUGGUGCUGUGCUUAACCUCUUCAGGCCUGCAACCCCUGCCAGGGAUCAGAGGAAGAGCCCAGACCUGGGAGGAGCACCCCUCUGCCAGAGGGUCUCUCUCCUCCUUCCCAUGCCCCUCCCCCAGCUCUACAGGAUCUGAUCUCACGAGCCCAGCCCCCACCAAGUCUUCCCCAGGAGGGGACAUUCUGGCUCAUCCACCCACCCUGCAGACAGGCAGACUGAGACCCAGAGGAAAGGGCUGAGCUGAGCCCAGCUUCGUCCCCUGGUCCGGCUCGGAGGCCCCGACAGCGAGCCUAGGGUGGCUCCGGGCAGGUGGCCGUCCCCUCUGACCCCGGGCUCGGACGGCCUCUGUGUCUGGGCCUCAGCUCAGAGCGUUUCCUGCCCGCCAGCCCCAGCCCAGCCCCUCAGGAAGUGGCCGCCUCCUGAACAAAGAGGCCGGCGGACAAUGGCCAUUGAAUUGGGCCGGGGCGCUCGCGCACGGACAGGCCACCAGCUGCCCGCGCUGAUAAGACGGCUCCGCAAGCUUGACCGGCUCUGGGAUCCGCGGCAGGAGCUCAGGGCUGGCGCGGCCCCGCCCCGCGGACUGGGGGCCAAUGGGGAGACGGCGCGCCCCGCCGGCCGCUCGGGGACCAAUCCGGGAACUCACCGGGGAGCGUCCCCGCCCCUCCAAGCGGCUCUGGCCCCGCCCCCUGCCCGGCCCGGCGCGCCCGCCCGGCUGGGCCCUGGGCGGGCCAACGAAACCAAGCUCUGGAAAGCGUUUUCCCCUCUAAAAGCGUCGGAAGUCGGCGCCUCGCUGCGCUUCCUUCGCCUACUUUGGGUGGAACAGUCCGGGAGGGCGGCCCGGCCGGCUUUCCCCGCACUCCCUGGCUCUCUGCGAGGGUCGCGGGCGGCUCGCUGUGCUCCGGGGGCAGCCUGGUCCGCACGCCUGCCUGAGGCACCCCUCCUCCGGAGGCACCAGGACACAUGGUGCACAUGGUGCAGCUCCGUGUGCGGAGGCCCGGCGCUGAGAGCCAGCUCCAAGAGACGAGCGGGGGCCCCUGCCCAGGCCCGAGCCGUGGAGCUGAGGUCAGGAGUCAGUCCCGCGCUGGCUCUGGAGGGCCCAGGUGCACCAGGUCAUCCCCCCCAGUCUGGGAGGCUCUGUGAAGAGGCAGGCACAGAACUGUAGUCAGGGAAUGUGGCAGGGUGUGUGUACGUCUGGGAAGGGGGGUCACAGCAUCUUCCAGAAGAAGCCUGGCCACCUGCAGGGGAGGAGAGGGGCUGAGAGGGGCAAGGCCUAGAGGUUUGGGAGAACUGAGAUAGGCUCUUUCCUCCCGGCAGGAUGAGGCGGCCCACUUCUGAGCCUGGCAGGCCCCAGGCAGAGCAGGGAUCUGGGGAGCUCGGGCCCACAGCAGCCUCCUGUUGUGUGUGUCCAGCCCGCAGCCCUGCCAUUACUUCCUGGCAUCACCAGCCUGCAAGCCCCGCCUUCAGCAAGCCCCUGCCCCGGUGGGAGCCUUCCCCAGGAUAGGGGUGAUACAGGGUGGGCAAAGCCAAGGCAGAGGGACACUCGCAGGCUGCAGGGCCCACGAGCGGGCCCUGACCCCAGCCAUCGGAAGCCUUCUUGGGGGAGGUGACACUUGUGUUGCAUUUGCCAGGACAGGACGGGAUAGACCCACCAGGAGAGGGAGUGGCCCAGACACAGGCUGGAGACAAGGAGGAGCCAGGUGUUUGGAGAAGGGCAAGGGGUCCAGGAGCGCAGGUGGAACAGCCAGGGGGCCGGGGGGUGUGGCCAGGCCCCAGGCAUCACCCUGACACAGCUGCCCCUUGGGCCUGUGGAGAAGGUGGCCAUUGGGAGGAGAGUGCUUGCAUGGUGUCUCUGUCAGCGUCCCAGAGGCUGGGCUGGGCCAGGAGUGAUGGUGACGGUGGUGCUGCGUAGAGGGUGCAGGCUGCGGCCCUGGAGAUGCAGGUCCAGGCUGGUGGCGGUGGUGGUGGGCACCAUCUGGCUGACAGUGGUGGUCCUGCUGGUGGGCUGGCAGGUUGCGGCCACGGGCGUGGCAGCAUGGCAGACUGCUGGGGCUGCGGUCACUGGGGGUGGUGCCAUAGGGCAGCCCACGUGGCUCCAGGUGCCUCGGAGAGGCUGCCCAGACUUCCACUAAGUGGCCUGGGGCCAUGCCCUCCAAGGAACCAGGUGUCUCCUGCCAACUCUUCCUGCCCCUCCCGCGUGCUGUGAGUGCCCCAUCUCCUGAGUAACCUAGGUAACCGUGACCCCUCAGUGGCCUGGGCAGAUGGACACACCUGGCCUUCAGGUGGAUGCAGCCCAACCCUCAAGCGGACACAACCUGACCCUCUGACCCACAGCCUGACUUAACAGCAACCUUGGCCCCAGCCGUGUCCUCGCCUUGACCACCUUCUCCACUUCACCCUUUGAUCCAAAGCCUCGGAACUGCGGCUACCCUUCCUUCCAGCAGCCACGUGGCACGCCCCGCGCCCACCACGAUGUCCCCCGCUACGGCCUCCGCAAGCACAGCCAGGUGCUCAUGGGUCACAUUUGCGUUGUUUUGUGAGACAUCCGGGCCGAGCCACAGACACCUGGGUCUGCGUGAGCAGAUACCUGCCUGGCCUCUGCCCAGCACCGGGCCCUGCUGCUCGGGCUGCAGGAAAUGGGAGGCCUGGCGGCUUCUGACUCCCGCUCUUUAUCAGCCCACGACGCUUCCUGCGGCCAGCGAGGCCUGGGCCCCGUGGCGCCGGGACACCAGGUCAGCAGUGACUCACCGAGAGCCCGGCCUGGGGACACCCUGGCCCACACCUCCUGCCUCCUGAGAACUCCCGCCCUCACCCUGGCCCACACCUGGCUGGCAGGGCCACCCUGAGCCCCCAUUCCCUGGCCCUCCCACCAUUCUCCACCCACCAGCAUCUUCCCCAUCUUUUAGCCCUCCCCUCCCUCCCCCAUCCCCGACAAGCAGGGCUGAGGUGCCCCCACCUCUUUGUGCCCCCCCCCCAGUCCCAAGUGCUCAUAGCCAGUAGGGUGGGCAGCCGGGGCUGCAGGGCCCACCAGGGCUGAGCACAAGCUCCUUGCUUUGCCCACCUAGGCGGCCACAAGUUUGCUCCCUACCCACGGGCCCUGCUGUCCCCCAGCUCUGCAAGGAGCACCACACCGCACCUUCUGAGGACCCUGACCCCUCCCACCCUCAGCUCUCACUGCUUCUCCCCACACCCUGUCACCCAAGCCCAGAUUGGCAGCGCACCUACCUCCCCUGUGCCCCAUCACGGCCUGACCAGUUCCUCCUCCUUCUGGUCUCAGUGUGGACCCCUCUUCCUCCAGGAAGCCUUCCUGGUCUAAUCCCUACAAUCCUCCCACCCUGGGGCCUCCCAAGGGAUGUCUCCAGUCCAUGGAACUCGUCUCUGAGCUUUAUUGGACCCUCAGCGGGAACCCAGAGUCUGCUGCUCACUGGCAGAACCCACCUCCCACCCUCGCCCCAGUGCACCCCUCGCCCAGCACGCCCGGCAACACUGCGUGGGUCAGGACGGUAACUGAAGUUGGGGACACAGGGCAGAGGGGGCCCUGGGAAGCUCAUCUUGGUCUGAACUCGCAGGGCGCCCCGCCCCAGGUCCGGGGCAGAUGUAAAUGGCAAAGGAAACAGCCAUCUGCGUGGGCCCCUUCCCAAAGAAAUGCCGACCCCUCCCUGGAGCAGGGCUCCUUGUGGGACUGACCCGCACAUGCACGAGCACGUGCGCACAAGCACACACAGAACCUGCAAAAUGGUCCUCAUCGUGCACACGCAGCCAGCCCACUCAGGCCCACCCGGGAGUCCUGUAGCACCGCCUGCUGGCUAACCAAGCAGCACCCCCUUCUACUUGCCGAGCCUGCGGGGCUAGGAAGUGGGUGCUUCGCACGGCAUGUGCCCAUGUGUGCGUGUGCACUCCUCUGCACCCCGUGGCCUGGGCCCUGUGACCACCAUGCCACCUCUCGUACAUUCACAUUCCCAGGCCGAGGUCAGUGAUGGUCGUUUGGAAAAUCUGUCUCUGAACAGCAGCAGUCCUGCCCAGGGCUAGGCCGGGGGCGCACCAACGGGGGCGGGGGAUUGAAUGCCAUCCACAGGCUGGUGUGCUCCGGAUCUCCACCCCUUGUGUGGCCUUUCCGUCACUUCAAGCUCUUCCAUCGGCUGCCCUGCACACCCAGCAGGCCCCUGAACCCACGGCCCCCAUCCCCCAGUGACAGCCACAGGGGCCUCCUGCGCAGACCCUGCCUGGCUCCCCUCCCUCUGGCGGGCCUCGAACCUCUGCCCCGCCCUCCGCUGCACACCGACUGCUCACCCUCUAUGCCCUGCCUGCUGCAUUUCCCCACAGCGUGGAGGCUGUUCCCUCCCUGCCGUGUCCCCGGUCCCACGACCAGCCUCAGAGCCUCGGAGCUUUGCCAUGAGGCUUUGCCAAGGCCUGCUGAGGCCUUGAAUGGGAAAUACGUACUUUCCAGAGCCCUGCGUGUAGUUGGAUGGAGUGUCCUGGUAAGGGGCUUUGGUGCAGAGGGAAACCCAGAAGUGGUGAGACCUCAGGGAGGCCUGGGGGGUGGGAUGGACACAGAGGCAGACGCUAACAUCUCCAUUUCCCAUCACUUGCCGUGACGUGGCACGUGCAGCUGCUGAUCCCAGGGGGCCCACCUCCCUCUGCAGUCAGGCCCUGGCCAGAUGGCGUGGGUCCUGCCGGCUUGGCCCUCGCUGACCCAAGCCCUCCCGCCCGAGGGGCAUCCCCCCAGCUGCCAGCUCAGUUCCACACUCCUGCUGAGGCUGGAGGCCAGGGCCACAGUGCCAUCACCCUGUGAAGCGCCGGACCGUCGUCUUCCUAGGCCCCACCAAGGCGGGCACCUGGCAGACGACGUCCUUAUUCACCUCUGGAUGGCGGGAGCGAUUACUCGCUCUGGUCAGCGUGAAGGCUCCUCAUCGCCAAGGGGAGUGUAGUCCCCACGCUGUCUGGCAAAGCGGCGUUUCCUCUCGUCAGCCAGGGCCUCCGGGCUCCAGUGAAGCCUGCGUGGCCGUAGCAGUUUGCUCCCUGUGAGGCGUGAUGACCCUCGCUGCUCCACCACAGCCCCGUGGGGCCAUCCCAGGAUGUGCCUCCUUCACGGCCUCCCACUGGGAUCCUCCCAGUGGAUCAGGGUCAAGGUUGUGAUGACGGCUGGGGUCAGGGUUGAGGUCAGGGUCAGGUCCUAUCAAUCUGGGGCCCCUGCCCUCACAGGGUCCAGCCGGGCCCAUUGUGUGGCGACAAUGGCUUCCUGAGCCAGGUUCCUCUCCCAGCAGGAAAGCCAUCAGGCCUCCACUUUGCCACCGCCCACGGCCCCUUUGAAGGGCCUGGGCGGUCAGCGCCUGAGGCCUGCAGCCUCGGAGCCAGUUCCUCGGCCCCCACCCCUUGCCAGCCUGGCCGGGGCCCAGGCCUCCCCAGGACCGGCCAACCCUGCAGGCACGUAGGCACAGGACAGCAUAGGCGGGCACUGCCCAGGCAGGGAAGCUGCCGGCCGCACGCGGGCACAGCCCCAAUCACGGCCGUCCCUCAGGAGCUCCUACCCUCAGGAAGCAUUGGCCCCUGUGUCCCCCAAGGGGCCAGGGUGUGUGUGCAGGGUGGCUGAGUGUCCUACUGACAUGGCAGCUUGGGGCCUGGGAGGGUGUUGGCAGGACACCUGGGCUGGACCUGGUGGGUAGGUGCCCAGAACCCAAGGCCCCCUUGCAGGAUAGGGGACAGGCAGAGGACCUGCCCCAGCUAGGCCAGGCCUCCCCACCAAGCCCAGCUGGUCCUGGGGCGCCCCCUGCUGCCUGGGGUG